UUUUGCAUAUCCAAUAGCGGAGGAAAAGAAACCAACAGGGAUUGCCUCAGUAACGGCGAGUGAAGCGGCAACAGCUCAAAUUUGAAAUCUGGCUCCUCUGGGGGUCCGAGUUGUAAUUUGUAGAGGAUGCUUUGGGCACGGCCACGGUCUAAGUUCUCUGGAACGAGACGUCAUAGAGGGUGAGAAUCCCGUCUGGGACCGCCGGCCACGCCCGUGUAAAGCUCCUUCGACGAGUCGAGUUGUUUGGGAAUGCAGCUCAAAAUGGGUGGUAAAUUUCAUCUAAAGCUAAAUAUUGGCCAGAGACCGAUAGCGCACAAGUAGAGUGAUCGAAAGAUGAAAAGCACUUUGAAAAGAGAGUUAAACAGCAUGUGAAAUUGUUGAAAGGGAAGCGCUUGCGACCAGACUCACCCGUGGCGGCUCACCCGGCGUUUUCGCCGGGGCACUCCACCGCGGUUGGGCCAGCAUCGGUUUGGGCGGUCGGUCAAAGGCCUCUGGAAUGUAUCAUCCCCCGGGAUGCCUUAUAGCCAGAGGUGCAAUGCGGCCUGCCUGGAUCGAGGAACGCGCUUCGGCACGGAUGCUGGCGUAAUGGUCGUAAGCGACCCGUCUUAA
rnacentral:rRNA from 1 species